rnacentral:rRNA from 1 species
CCUACGGGAGGCAGCAGUGGGGAAUCUUGCGCAAUGGGCGAAAGCCUGACGCAGCAACGCCGCGUGCGGGAAGAAGGCUUUCGGGCUGUAAACCGCUUUCAGCAGGAACGAAAAUGACGGUACCUGCAGAAGAAGGAGCGGCCAACUAUGUGCCAGCAGCCGCGGUGAUACAUAGGCUUCAAGCGUUGUCCGGAUUUAUUGGGCGUAAAGAGUUCGUAGGCGGUCGAGUAAGUCGGGUGUGAAAAUUCUGGGCUCAACCCAGAGACGCCACCCGAUACUGCUUGACUUGAGUUCGAUAGGGGAGUGGGGAAUUCCUAGUGUAGCGGUGAAAUGCGCAGAUAUUAGGAGGAACACCGGUGGCGAAGGCGCCACUCUGGAUCGAUACUGACGCUGAGGAACGAAAGCAUGGGUAGCAAACAGGAUUAGAUACCCUGGUAGUCCAUGCCGUAAACGGUGGGCACUAGGUGUGGGUUUCUAUUAACGAAAUCCGCGCCGUCGCUAACGCAUUAAGUGCCCCCGCCUGGGGGUAGGUACGGUCGCGACGACGUAAACCUAACAAACGAAGUAGUACGGACGUGAGACGUACGCCGACGGACGACCGACGAGGGAGGUAGG